rnacentral:rRNA from 1 species
UACAGAGGUCCCAAGCGUUGUUCGGAUUCAUUGGGCGUAAAGGGGUGCGUAGGCGGCGCGGUAAGUCGGGGUGUGAAAUCUCGGAGCUUAACUCCGAAACUGCAUUCGAUACUGCCGUGCUUGAGGACUGGAGAGGAGACUGGAAUUUACGGUGUAGCGGUGAAAUGCGUAGAUAUCGUAAGGAAGACCAGUGGCGAAGGCGGGUCUCGUGGACAGUUCCUGACGCUGAGGCACGAAGGCCAGGGGAGCAAACGGG